rnacentral:rRNA from 1 species
GUCUGCCACCAUAUCACACUGAAUGCCCCCAAUCUCGGAAGCUAAGCUAGGUCAGGCCUCGUUAGUACUUGGAUCAGAGACAAGUGAGGUGAAGAGCUACAAAGUAAAAGCAUUGGUAGUCC